UGCUGGGGGGAUUAGGGGCGAACGGGUGAGUAACACGUGAGUAACCUGCCCUUGACUCUGGGAUAAGCGUUGGAAACGACGUCUAAUACCGGAUACAACCCGCGAAGGCAUCUUCUUCGGGUGGAAAGAAUUUUGGUCAAGGAUGGACUCGCGGCCUAUCAGGUAGUUGGUGAGGUAAUGGCUCACCAAGCCUACAACGGGUAGCCGGCCUGAAAGGGUGACCGGCCACACUGGGACUGAAACACGGCCCAAACUCCUACGGGAGGCAGCAGUGGGGAAUAUUGCACAAUGGGCAAAAGCCUGAUGCACCAACGCCGCGUGAGGAAUGACGGCCUUCGGGUUGUAAACCUCUUUUAGCAGGGAAAAAGCGAAAGUGACGGUACCUGCAAAAAAAGCACCGGCUAACUACUUGCCAGCAGCCGCGGUAAUACGUAGGGUGCAAGCGUUGUCCGGAAUUAUUGGGCGUAAAGAGCUCGUAGGCGGUUUGUCGCGUCUGCUGUGAAAACUGGAGGCUCAACCUCCAGCCUGCAGUGGGUACGGGCAGACUAGAGUGCGGUAGGGGAGAUUGAAAUUCCUGGUGUAGCGGUGGAAUGCGCAGAUAUCAGGAGGAACACCGAUGGCGAAGGCAGAUCUCUGGGCCGUAACUGACGCUGAGGAGCGAAAGGGUGGG
rnacentral:rRNA from 1 species